UUUUUUUCCUUUUAUUUCAUGUCUAGAAUUAUCUUCUCUCCAAAGCUCAACCUGGAGACUGGGAGUUCCACAGUAGUUUCGUCACAAACCAAGACCCUGUUUUCUUGGCUAAGAACUUAGUCUGGGAGAAGCUUCUGGAUUAUUUGCCAGAGGAGGUACCAUACAAUGUCAAAAUUAUGAUUGAGAUGUGGGAGCUGGAUGAUAAAGAGACACUCAAAAUCUUUUUCAAUAUUAUUUGUAUCAAGAAAAAGCAUGUACACAUGAUUGUUGGAAAAAAUGGACACAGGAUCAAAGCUUUGAUAGCAGAAGCCCAGCAAUCUUUGAUGGAUGCAUUCCGGAUCAACAUUUUGCUUAAAAUUAAUGUAAAGCUUGCCACCAAAAAGUAAUAAUAAAAUAAUAAUUUUAUAGAAA
rnacentral:lncRNA from 1 species